rnacentral:lncRNA from 1 species
GGCUUCUAAGAGGUAAGUGGCAAGAUCCUUUCCUCUAGUUUUGGAUUUUAAAGCUUUCUUUGAGAUGAAACCCUAGUUUUGAGACUUAGGGUUUAUUUUGGGCUUUUUAAACCUAGGGCUUUUGAGGCUUGAUUGGUUGGUUUAGAACCUUCCUAGGGCUUGGAUUGGAAGGGUUCUAGCUCUCUUUUGGAGCUUAGGAGAAGAUUUCUACUCUUGAGGUGAGUUUUGGCCCUUUUGCUUCUAGGUUAAAGAUCGAGCUUAUUGCUCUUCGUAUCGAUUGGAUGACACUAUUUUUGAUGUUCCUAGGGUGCUAGGAAGCUAGUGGAUACCUCCAUCGAAGCAAGCGAAAGGCUUCGUUGUCGUCGGUGGGUUUGACCUAGCCACACAAUGAGAAAUUCUCAUUUGUGCUUAAUUAAGCAUCGUUAAAUGAAAAAGCAUGCAUAUUCUUCUUAUAUGUAUUUAUUGUGAAUUUUAGAAUGCCUAAAGGGCCUAUGUUAUAUAUGUUGAAAUUUCGGACCUCUACGCAGUAGAGAAUAGCUUGGUAGGCCUAUAGUUGCAUUUAGUAUUCUAUAUGAGACAUGGUUUCUUGCUUCUAUAGUAUAAGUGAGCUUCGAU